rnacentral:sRNA from 1 species
AUACUCACUGUGUGCUGGACACCCCAACCUCAGGUCCCCAUCCUAGCCACUAUAGGGGCAUCUGCCCGAGGUGGGUGGGUGGAACCAAAGGGGACAGAGUGGAACCAGGCAGGCCUGGGUGUAGGUCUUUGGUUCUGGUCUCCAUAGCCUGCUCACAGAUGUGGCUCUGAAUCACCAGCUCCUUUUCUUCUGCAGUCUGGAGAGACGGCCCUCCAUGUGGCAGCUCGCUAUGGCCAUGCUGAUGUGGCUCAGCUACUGUGCAGCUUCGGCUCCAAUCCCGACAUCCAGGACAAGGAAGAAGAAACCCCCCUGCACUGUGCUGCCUGGCACAGGUAUUACUCUGUGGCCAAAGCCCUUUGUGAAGCCGGCUGUAACGUGAACAUCAAGAACCGAGAAGGAGAGACGCCCCUCCUGACAGCCUCUGCCAGGGGCUACCACGACAUCGUGGAGUGUCUGGCCGAACAUGGAGCCGACCUUAAUGCUUGCGACAAGGUGCCUUAUGGGGGAAGACUCAUAUGCACUGGGAAGUGAUCUAGGGGGACCACAAGACUCCUCAGUUUGUUUCCCUAAGAUAACAAACUUGAAUGCAGCAAACUGUAAUUACCCCGUCUCUUCUCUGUUCCAAAGAUUCUGUGAACUUUUCUAUAUUGUAUUUAAUAAUUAAUAUUAAUUUAUGGCAUAUAACAAAAUUCAUGAAUUGAUCAAUUGACUUUGGUCUUUAAAUAAUUUUUAGCUUUUUUAGCUUUAGAGCAGGUACAGUGAUGUUCACUGAAUCCGAGACAAUUCUCAUUGAGGACUAACAUUGGCAACACACUAUUAAUUUUUAGAUAAACAAAGAAAUAGAU